UGGGAAUUUUGGACGAAUUGGGCGAAAGCCUGAAUCCAGCAAUGCCGCGUGUGUGAAGAAGGCCUUCGGGUUGUAAAGCACUUUUGUCCGGAAAGAAAUCCUUGGCUCUAAUACAGUCGGGGGAGUGACGGUACCGGAAGAAUAAGCACCGGCUAACUACGUGCCAGCAGCCGCGGUAAUACGUAGGGUGCAAGCGUUAAUCGGAAUUACUGGGCGUAAAGCGUGCGCAGGCGGUUUGCUAAGACCGAUGUGAAAUCCCCGGGCUCAACCUGGGAACUGCAUUGGUGACUGGCAGGCUAGAGUAUGGCAGAGGGGGGUGAGAAUUCCACGUGUAGCAGUGAAAUGCGUAGAGAUGUGGAGGAAUACCGAUGGCGAAGGCAGCCCCUGGC
rnacentral:rRNA from 1 species